AUUGAACGCUGGCGGCAUGCCUUACACAUGCAAGUCGAACGGCAGCACGGGAGCAAUCCUGGUGGCGAGUGGCGAACGGGUGAGUAAAGUAUCGGAACGUGCCCAGUCGUGGGGGAUAACGUAGCGAAAGUUACGCUAAUACCGCAUACGAUCUAUGGAUGAAAGCGGGGGAUCGCAAGACCUCGCGCGAUUGGAGCGGCCGAUAUCAGAUUAGGUAGUUGGGGGGGUAAAGGCUCACCAAGCCGAAGAUCUGUAGCUGGUCUGAGAGGACGACCAGCCACACUGGGACUGAGACACGGCCCAGACUCCUACGGGAGGCAGCAGUGGGGAAUUUUGGACAAUGGGCGAAAGCCUGAUCAGCCAUGCCGCGUGCAGGAUGAAGGCCUUCGGGUUGUAAACUGCUUUUGUACGGAACGAAAAGGUUUGGGCUAAUAAGCUGAGCUCAUGACGGUACCGUAAGAAUAAGCACCGGCUAACUACGUGCCAGCCGCCGCCGUAA
rnacentral:rRNA from 1 species